rnacentral:tRNA from 1 species
UCUAAUAUGGCAGAUUAGUGCAAUGAAUUUAAGCUUCAUAAAUAAAGUUUAUAAUUACUUUUAUUAGAA